ensembl:misc_RNA Metazoa_SRP Metazoan signal recognition particle RNA
GCCGGGCACAGUGGCUCAUGCCUGUAAUCCCACCACCUUGGGAGGCUGAGGCAGGAGAUUCACUUGAGCCCAGGAGUUCAAGACUAACCUUGGCAACAUAAUGAGACCCUGUCUCUACAAAAAAUUCAAAAAUGAGCUGGGCAUGGUGAUGUGUGCCUGUAGUCCCAGCUACUCAAGAGGCUGAGGUGGUCAGAAGAUCACUUGAGCCGGGAGGUUGAGGCUGCAGUGAGCUGUGAUCACGCCACUGCACUCUAGCCUGGGCAACAAAGAGAGACCUUGUCUCA